AUGGGAUUGCAGGUUGCGCUGCUGACCUCUGCCGCACUGACUGCGGAGGUCAAUACAUUGAAGGAAAGCCUCGAGCGGUCCGAGAACGAGCUCGGCCGUGCCAAGAAGCAGCUCGAGGACAAGGAAGGGGCCACUAACGAGGUGGCGACCCUGAAAGAGGCGGUGGCCACGGCUGAAUGCAAUGCGGCCGUGGAGCACACCGAGCAAGAGAAGCAGGAGGCGCGAGUGGCAGAGGUACAGCAAGAGCUCCAGGAUCUCGUGAAAAAACAUGAGAGCCUGGAGCGUGACUCGAAGACUCGAGAGUCUGAGCUUGCAACGGCUCUUGAGAGUGCCAAAGCCGCUAAGGCCGAAGCCUACAAGGCCCUCCAGGAGAUUGAGGCGGUGAAGAAAAUAGCAGCGGGUAAGGCAUUUUUCAUGCAAAGUAAGCAUGUGAGUGUUAAUUACCUGUUGCUUACCCGAAUUCGGAGCUCUCCAGGAGCGUUCACAGAUCUUCCUCGCAGCAUGUCCGAUGCUGCUGCAUUCUACCGGGCCGAGGAGGGGAGCUCGACGGAGAAGGUCUUCUGGUCUCAGUAUGCUGAGGCCGGACAUCCGGUGCCCCUUAGCGACCAGCUGAAGCAGCUGGUCGAGCUCCACAAGGCGGCCGAACAGGCCAUGAAGGGCCUCAUAGUUCGGCUGUGGCCUAAGGAGGCCAUGCCUGGGAGCUACUUCGGCCUGGUGCGGCGGCUGGUGGAUGCGUGCCCGUGGGUUGAAGUCAUCAAGCACUCCGCCUGUAUUGAGGGUGCCUGUCGAGCCCUUGCCCGCGCAAAGGUGCACUGGGGCAAGAUGGAUGCCCAGAAGCUUGUGAUGGACCCACCACCAGAGGGCAAGGAGCAUCGCAUGCCCAAGAUGUAUUAUAAGAGUGUGCUGAAGGGCGCCCGCACUAUUGCGGGGGAGUGCUCCAAAGAUGUAGUUUUUUAG
rnacentral:rRNA from 1 species